GGCGCUAUAGCCAAGUGGUUACGGCGACAGAUUAGAAUGUCAACGUCCAGGUGAUUGGAUUGAGAUCUAUCUGUUCCUCUUUGAGGGCGCAGGUUCAAAUCCUGCUGGCGUCG